UACGGGGGGGGCAAGCGUUGUUCGGAAUUACUGGGCGUAAAGGGCUCGUAGGCGGCCAACUAAGUCAGACGUGAAAUCCCUCGGCUUAACCGGGGAACUGCGUCUGAUACUGGGUGGCUUGAGGUUGGGAGAGGGAUGCGGAAUUCCAGGUGUAGCGGUGAAAUGCGUAGAUAUCUGGAGGAACACCGGUGGCGAAGGCGGCAUCCUGGACCAAUUCUGACGCUGAGGAGCGAAAGCCAGGGGAGCAAACGGG
rnacentral:rRNA from 1 species